GUGACCCGUGCCACCGAACGCAUCUGCGGCCGGUUGGGGCCGCUGAAGUCCCGGUGCGAGCGGCUGCUGCAGCGCUGGGUGACCCCCAUCGUGGACGCGCUGGCGCACCACGAAGCCCCCAACCGCAUCUGCACCCGCCUGAAGCUGUGCCCCAAGGGGGUCUGAGCCAGGCACCGGCUGGCUCCGAGGACCCCCGAUGGCACCCGUCCAAAACCGGUGUCCCCCUCGUGUCCCCCUCGUGUCCCCCACGCUGUGACCACCCCGUCCUUCCCAGCACAAUAAAGCUUUGUCACCACAGGAGUGGCACCUGCCUGUCCCCUGCGGGGGUGGGAUGGGGACACGGGGACCCCAACGGGGACUUCAGUGGGGACAGGGGGACCCCGAUGGGGACAUGGCUAUGGGGGGGUUUGGGGGGACACCUCCAGGGCCCUGUCCCUUGCUGGGAGCGGGGCUGGGGACAGGGACAACGUGUCCCUGCGGCGCUGGCACUGUCCCAGCGGCCACCUCCCGUCCCCACGGGGCUAUAAGAGCCCGCGGGGCACGGCCCCGUCACCGCCACCAUGGCGCUGCCACCGUCCCCGUCCCCGUCCCCGUCCCUGGCACGGACGCUGCUCCUCGCCCUGCUCUGUGCCACCACAGGUAGGGACCGUGAGCCCCCCCCCCGGGCUGGGCACCCCCCAACCCCAAAUCUGGGUGCCCCCAUAACCCCAAAUCUGGGUGUGUCCCCCCCUUGGGGACACGGCGGUGGAUUGGGGGGGUCCUUCCCCAUUAUGGGAUUUGGGGGUGGGGGGGGUCCUGGCCACCUGGGUGUCCCCCCACACCCAAAGAGCUGUAGGGGGGGGAAUUUGGGGGGGUUAUGGGGGGGUCCCAGCGCUGGUGCUGACGGUGGCCGCAGGGCUGGGGGGGCCGGCGGAGCGCUGCGGGGUCCCCCCCGACGCCUGGUGCCAGAACUGGGGGACGGCGCUGCGCUGCGGGGCCCUGGAGCUCUGCGCCCGCCGCGGCUGGGCCCCCAGUGCCAAGGUGAGCGCCGAGACACGGCCCCACAGCCCAACGGCCCCACAGCCCAACGGCCCCACAGCCCCACUGCCCCACAGCCCCNNNNNNNNNNCCUGUGCCCCCCGUGUCCCCGCGCCCCACGCCCCAUACCCUAUGUCCCAUGGCCCGCGCCGUGUCCCUCUGUCCCCACAUUCCCACGCCCCGUGCCCCUUGUCCCCGUGCCCCAUAUCCACGUUCCCACGCCACAUGUUUGUGUGUCCCCUACUCCCCCUCCCCAUAUAAUGAUACCCCAUGUCCCCACACCCCAUUGCCAUGUCCCCAAGCCCAUUUCUCCAUGUCCCCAAGGUCACUUCCCCAUGUCCCCAUGCUCCACGCCUUAUGUCCACAUGUCCCCAAGUCCAUUUUCCCAUGACCCUACACUCCGUACUAUAUGUCCCCAUAUCCCCAAGUCCUUUUUCCCGUGUCCCCACGUAAUAUGCCCCCAACUCUGCUUCCCCAUGCCCCCAUCCUCCACGUCCUAUGUCCCCAUGUCCCCAAGUCCAUUCCCAUGUCCUGUACCCCAUGCUAUAUGUCCCCAACCAUGUCCCCAACUCCGUUUCCCCGUGCCCCCAUACUCCACACCACAUGUCCCCAUGUCCCCAAACCCCUUUCCCCGUGCCCUGUACCCCCUGUCCCCGUGCCCCCCGUCCCCACACGUCCCGGUGCGGGUGCCCCCCCCUCGCAGGAGGACAUGUGCGCCGACUGCCAGGAGGUCGUCACCCUGCUCAUCCGCAUGGCCAACGAGUCGGCCACCAAGGUGGCCGUGGAGGGAUUUCUGCGCCGGGAGUGCUCGGCGCUGCCGGUGCCCACCAUGGUGA
rnacentral:lncRNA from 1 species